AAGACCUUGCACUUUUGGAGCGGCCGAUGUCUGAUUAGCUAGUUGGUGGGGUAAUGGCCUACCAAAGCUUCGAUCAGUAGCUGGUCUGAGAGGACGGCCAGCCACACUGGGACUGAGACACGGCCCAGACUCCUACGGGAGGCGGCAGUGGGGAAUUUUGGACAAUGGGCGCAAGCCUGAUCCAGCCAUGCCGCGUGAGUGAAGAAGGCCUUCGGGUUGUAAAGCUCUUUCAGCCGGGAAGAAAAGGUUGCGACUAAUAAUCGCAAUCCAUGACGGUACCGAAAGAAGAAGCACCGGCUAACUACGUGCCAGCAGCCGCGAUAAUACGUAGGGUGCGAGCGUUAAUCGGAAUUACUGGGCGUAAAGGGUGCGCAGGCGGUUUUGUAAGUCAGAUGUGAAAUCCCCGGGCUUAACCUGGGAACU
rnacentral:rRNA from 1 species